AUGCAAGUCGAGCGGGAAUAGGUAGCUUGCUACUGAAUUCUAGCGGCGGACGGGUGAGUAACGCGUGGGAACGUGCCCUUUGCUACGGAAUAGUCCCGGGAAACUGGGUUUAAUACCGUAUGUGCCCUUUGACCUUGGCGGUCUUGGGGGAAAGAUUUAUCGGCAAAGGAUCGGCCCGCGUUGGAUUAGGUAGUUGGUGGGGUAAUGGCUCACCAAGCCGACGAUCCAUAGCUGGUUUGAGAGGAUGAUCAGCCACACUGGAACUGAG
rnacentral:rRNA from 1 species